CUUUCCUUUUCUUUUAAUUUUUUGCAUUUAUAAUUUUUUAGUUUAUUUUAGUUUGUUAGUUUCUUUUCAAUAAAUUUCAUGUGCUAGACGAGCCAUUUGUGUAGUGUAUCCUUACUUCCCCAUUCCUUGAUCCUUACAAAAAAAAUUGAAAAAGAAAACAACUUUUAUUUUGAAAAACUUGGGCUGUUAGAUAAGUUUAGGAUAUGAUGUUAAAGACUUGGGAAAACUUUAAAAAAAAUAGAUAUCAUCUCAAUACCGUAAGCUUCUUGACUUUG
rnacentral:lncRNA from 1 species